GAAAACAGAGCAGUAGUGAAGAGGAAGAAGAAGAAGAAGAAGAAGAAGAAAGAGUUGGAAAGGAGAGAAAAUUGAAAGGGGCCGUGAGCUUGGUGAAGGUACACUAAAGGGAAAUUAUACAGAGUUAUUUAUAGAGGUCCGGUGGCUGGAAAUUUCUACGUGUCUUGGAUUUUCUUUUCUAUGACUUUUCUUUCGCUCUUUUUAUUUUUUGUUAUUUUAGUGGAGUGACAGCUUUAUCUAUUUUAGGGGAUAUUAAAAGUUUAUUUGGUUCUUGGUAAAGAUUUAUUAAUAUUUAGUUUUAGAAGAUGUUCAUUUCGGAAUUGUUUUUACAAUUGUAAUGAUAGACUCACAUAAUGACGAUGGUCUAGAUAAGAAUUAAUUGUUUAAAAUGGAAUGUUAGAGAGUUAAUCGUUGAAUGGGUAGUUAAAA
rnacentral:lncRNA from 1 species